GGAGGUGGCGCAGGCGGUUGCGGAUAGAUCUUGGUCUAACCUUGGUCUAUCUGAGGAAAGUCCGGGCUCCCGAAAGACCAGACUUGCUGGGUAACGCCCAGUGCGGGUGACCGUGAGGAGAGUGCCACAGAAACAUACCGCCGAUGGAAAGGACGCAGGCAUAAGGCGGAAAACGCUUUCGUCAUUAUGUUCUUCAUCCUGUCACAGGUAAGGGUGCAAGGGUGCGGUAAGAGCGCACCAGCAGCAUCGAGAGGUGCUGGCUCGGUAAACCCCGGUCGGGUGCAAGGUCAAAGGGGCAAGGGUUGGUCUUUUUCCUGCCCCGCUGUAAGGUACCGCAUGAGGCGGCUGGUAACAGUCGUCCCAGAUAGAUAACCGCCCCCCCGGUGACGGGGGAACAGAACCCGGCUUAUGUCCACCUCCCUCC
rnacentral:RNase_P_RNA from 1 species